CACAUGCAAGUCGAACGGCAGCGCGGGGCAACCUGGCGGCGAGUGGCGAACGGGUGAGUAAUAUAUCGGAACGUACCCUGGAGUGGGGGAUAACGUAGCGAAAGUUACGCUAAUACCGCAUACGAUCUAAGGAUGAAAGCAGGGGACCGCAAGGCCUUGUGCUCCUGGAGCGGCCGAUAUCUGAUUAGCUAGUUGGUGGGGUAAAGGCCCACCAAGGCAUCGAUCAGUAGCUGGUCUGAGAGGACGACCAGCCAC
rnacentral:rRNA from 1 species